UGUUGGAUGUCAUCAGUGAAAUGCUCAGACUGAACUCAUCAAAGAAGGAAUCGGCUAGGCCUUACCUGGCUCCUGACAGUACCAAUCCAGGCAGAGAUGUUUGGGCCUGAAGAGGAAGAAUUCUUCCAGGGUGUUGGAAAGGCAUCUUCACGACAAGCUGAAGCCAAAUGGAGGCAUUUGAGAACAAAUGGUUUUGAAAAAUCCUGGACAUUCGGUGAGAUACUCAUAGAGAACAUCAGGAACUUUUCCAGUGAGUCGGCUCUUCACAUCAAAUGACCAAAAUACUGGAGCUUCAGCUUUAGCAUCAGUCUUUCCAACAACUAUUCAGGGGUAAUUUCCCUUAAGACUGCCUGGUGUGAUCUCCUUGAUUCAAGGGACUCUCGGGAGUCUUCUCCAGCCCCACGGUUUGAAGGCAUCGGUUCUUUGGCAUCCCGCCUUCUUUACUGUCCAGCUCUCACCACUGUAGGUGACCACUGGGAAGACCAGAGCCGUAACUGUAUGGAUCUUUGUCGGCAGAGUUUUUUGCUUUUCAACACACUGUCUAGGUUUGUCAUC